UUGUAGUACAGCAGCAUAAAUUUUUAUUUAAUAACUCAUUUAUUUUUACAGGCAAGACAUCUUAUUAACAGAAGCUUUAUUCGGGUGUUGCAAGCUGUGGUUUCAUUUAUUCUGCCCCCUGUGCUACCCCCGCAAAAAAAUAAUCUGGUCACGCACCAGCAUUCCAUGAUGUUAACCAUUAUUCAUCAUACAUAUGAAAAUAUAGUUGCAAUUACUUUGCCAAGUCUUGAUUUAUGCCAUAUCCCUCAUGGUUUAUAUUGGUAUAGAUUGUAAGCUCAUUCAAGCAGGGCAUACUUCACCUCUUGUGUCUGUUAUUCUGUAUCUUCAUUUCUCUAGUGGUUUUGUCCCCAAAUGUAAGUAUUCCAUCAGUUUGACAACUUUCCUAAUGUCCGUCAGUCAUCAGCUCUAUGAAAGCCAGAAGCUCUCUCCAUUAAAGGACCACUGUAGUGCCAGGAACACAAACUCGUUUUCCUGGCACUAUAGUGUUAGUAGGUCCCUCCCACCCUUAUAGCCCCCUCCCGCCGGGCUCUAGGGGGAGGAAGGGGUUAAACGCUUACCUUUCGCCAGCGCCAGGCUCCCUCGGCGCUGGGGACUCACCUCCCUCUUCCGCCGCAUGCGCAGCAAGAGCCGCACUCGCAUUCAAUCAGUCCAUAGGAAAGCAUUCUCAAUGCUUUUUCUAUGGACGUUGGAGUCUUCUCACUGUGAAAAUCACAGUGAGGAGCACGGAAGCGCCUCUAGCGGCUGUCAAUGAGACAGCCACUAGAAGCUGGAUUAACCUUAAUGUAAACAUAGCAGUUUCUCUGAAACUGCUGUUACAACUGCAGUGUUAACCCUAGAUGGACCUGGCACCCAGUCUAGGUGCCUAUAGUGGUCCUUGAGACAUAAGCUUUGCAGUGCAGGUCUUAGCAGAUCUGCUGCUAGCAGUCAGCUGAUGCUCCAAGCCAAUGAGCACAACAAGGUUCGACUCAGGAGACGUAAUUGAAGCUAGUAGGAGCAUCUAUUUAUCCAAUGAGAAAGUGAUUUGUGACUGG